UUGAUCCUGGCUCAGAACGAACGCUGGCGGCAGGCUUAACACAUGCAAGUCGAACGCCCCGCAAGGGGAGUGGCAGACGGGUGAGUAACGCGUGGGAACAUACCCUUUCCUGCGGAAUAGCUCCGGGAAACUGGAAUUAAUACCGCAUACGCCCUACGGGGGAAAGAUUUAUCGGGGAAGGAUUGGCCCGCGUUGGAUUAGCUAGUUGGUGGGGUAAAGGCCUACCAAGGCGACGAUCCAUAGCUGGUCUGAGAGGAUGAUCAGCCACAUUGGGACUGAGACACGGCCCAAACUCCUACGGGAGGCAGCAGUGGGGAAUAUUGGACAAUGGGCGCAAGCCUGAUCCAGCCAUGCCGCGUGAGUGAUGAAGGCCUUAGGGU
rnacentral:rRNA from 1 species